CGGACUUCCCUGACACCAGGGCCCCAAGGUGGGGCAGACAAAGGGCAAGGAAGUCCUAGCAAAGGGCAGACUAUACCUUUAAACCCAGGCAAGAUGGAAACUAUGAAAAGAACUCGAGGCUAUAGUCUGGAUGUUUCACUGGGGCUUUGAGAAGGGAGGGAAAGGAGAGAGCAGCAGAGGGAGCGAGAGCAGGGAGCAGUAGCAGGGGCUUAGGAGAGAAGCUUAUUACCUUAUUUCCCACUGGGAGCUCCGGUACCGACCGUGAAGCCGACAGCAUCUGAUGUAAUGCAGAGAAUGUGAGACGCUUGUGGGUUGGCAGGGGGGAAGGGAAAGAGGGAGGGAGAGAGGGAGGACGAGAGAGAGAGAGAGAGAGAGAGAGAGAGAGAGAGAGAGAGAGAGAGAGAGAGAGAGAGAGAGAGAGAGAAGAGAAGGGAAGGAGGGAGGAAAGACAGAGAGGUGGGUAGGGAAGAAAGGGAGGAGGGAAGGAAGGAGAGGGGGAGGGAGAGAGACAGAGAGCUGCAGAAAGAAGAGAGCGAGGUUAGACUCCAAUUGAGGGAGGAAGAAGUCCGAGGAUACCCAGGUUCACUUUUCCUGAGAAUCUGACUUGAGGCGCCCCCUCCCAGCUUUUUUUCCUCUCUGUCUCGGAGUUCCCGGCCCCAGAGUGCCAGCAGUGGGCAGGGCGGAGGACGCCAGCGCGUCCCUGCGGCCGGGUAUGGUGGAGCAAGGGGAGCCAAAGGGAGCCCACCUCCCCUAGCUCAGGCUGGUCCGAGAACGGCUCUGAGCAGACCUGGAGAUGUAAGAGAAGUGGCCCCCGCGCCAGGGCUCCCAAGCUGGGGAAAAGCAGGCAAGAAGGCAGGCAGACAGGCAGCAGUGAAGGCAAGGCGUGAGGGGCCGAGUCCUGGGGCUGCGCGCCGGGCCGUGCUGCCAGGGCGGCUCCGCUCCGCUCCGUGCGCCCCCGCCUGCGCCCCCACUGGCCGGCUUGGAUCGGAUAGCUGGCUUUGUGUCCUCAGGCUCGGCUCAGCUCUUCUCAGCCCGCGGGAGGAAGUUGGAAGCCCCUGGCCCCACACCGCAGCGGGUCUGUCCCCGUCCAGGCAGGGCACCUUUUGUUUGGGGAGAGUGAGCGUGUGUGCGCCUGUGUGCGCGCCUUUGCUAUUCUAUUAGCAUCGCAACGUGAAGACCAACAAGGAAUACGUACGGAGAGGAGACACAUUCGUGCGCACACACACACGCACACACACACACACACACACACACACGCGCACGCGCGCACACACACACACACACACACACACACACACACACACACACACACACAGAGGCGCGCGCCACACACAGGCGCGCACACACACCCUCCCUCCGUCCCUCCCUCUCUCCCGCCGGCUCGACUGCCUCUGCCUCUGCCUCUCGCUUGCAGCCGGCAGCUGCACCUGCUCGCCUCCAGCCCUCGCCCCCAGCCCUCGCCCUUAGGACUCGCUCGAGCGGGGCCGGGGAUGUGGUCCCGGAGUGGCGGCGCGGGGACGCCGGAGCCCAGCGGCCUCCUGCCCCCACUAUCCCUGAGCUCUCAAUCGCAGCAGGCCCGAGAAGGAAAGUGACCAGGGCAGCAACUGGAGCCUGGGCUGAACAAGUUAAGGGGAUUUUCUGCCCACCUUCCAGGUUGUCCUCCAGCCAAAGGUAAGUUGCCUGGUUUCCUAUGAGAAGAUUCAGUUAUGAGAGGCUGGUGCCCAGACUGAAUGU
ensembl:lncRNA